rnacentral:tRNA from 1 species
CGGGCUGUGGCGCAGUUGGUAGCGCACUCCUUUGGGGUGGGAGAGGUCGCCGGUUCAAGUCCGGUCAGCCCGA